CCUACGGGUGGCUGCAGUGGGGAAUAUUGGACAAUGGGGGGAACCCUGAUCCAGCGACGCCGCGUGAGUGAAGAAGUAUUUCGGUAUGUAAAGCUCUAUCAGCAGGGAAGAAAAUGACGGUACCUGACUAAGAAGCCCCGGCUAACUACGUGCCAGCAGCCGCGGUAAUACGUAGGGGGCAAGCGUUAUCCGGAAUGACUGGGCGUAAAGGGUGCGUAGGUGGUUUGGCAAGUUGGUAGCGUAAUCCCGGGGCUCAACCUCGGUGCUACUACCAAAACUGUUGAACUUGAGUGCAGGAGGGGUGAAUGGAAGUCCCAGUGUAGCGGUGGAAUGCGUAGAUAUUGGGAAGAACACCAGCGGCGAAGGCGAUUCACUGGACUGUAACUGACACUGAGGCACGAAAGCGUGGGGAGCAAACAGGAUUAGAUACCCGAGUAGUC
rnacentral:rRNA from 1 species